rnacentral:tRNA from 1 species
UUUUAUAUAGUUUAAAAAACAUUACAUUUUCAGUGUAAAAUUAGAUUUCUCAUCUUAUAAAAU